CAUUCUAUACUCCAAUGAAAUUCAAAAUGAUACAUGAUAAGAUAUCAAAAAUUCAAUUUUAUUUUUUCUUAAUAAGCCAGACCUCUCAAGAGCUCAUUGAAUACUUUUAUUAAGUUGCAUGGUAAAAUAAAAGAUAAGGAUGUUGGUGUGUUGUUACAAUUCUGUUUUUAUUUUUUAUGAAAAUACUACAAGAUUUCUGAUUUUCAUUUUUCUUAAUACGCUAAGGCUGUGCUAUUAGAAUUCUGGUGUUCAUUUUUUAAUGAAAAUACUACAAGAUUUCUUAUACACAUUGGAUAAUAUUUUCUUAACAUAUUUUUUUGAAAUAAAUAAGGAGCAAAAGAAUAACCAAGAACAAUAAACUUAUUUCAAGGAUCUAGGAGAACAAUCAAAUAAAAAAAAGUAGGCAACUCUAAAAUGGAUUAACUUUUGAGUUUAACAUUACAAAAUCAAUGGUCAACAAACAUAAAAGAUUCACCCAAACCCAAGAAAAUUAAAAUCAAAUAAAAGACGCAGGCAACUCUAAAAUGGAUUAACUUUAACUCUUCACCCAAAUACAAUAAAAUUAAAAAUCAAAUAAAAGACGCAGGUACGGUGCAUCAAACGUAAAAGAACAAAACUAACCGAAAACUGGAAUUGUUUGCCUAGGCGUUGACGAAUAGCUAUUUUCCUCUCGUCGGCGUCUGCAACUUGAGUGGCUUGC
rnacentral:lncRNA from 1 species